rnacentral:lncRNA from 1 species
UAGUUUCCGAACGUCAUGGUCGUUUCUUGACGUUUAGACUCUUAACUCUUCCAAACUAAGUUAAUUACAUUAGUUUAGGUCUAGAAACAUCAUUUUAACUAUUUUUAAGUCAUUAAUCAUAAAGCAAGGCUCUAGCUUAGGUCAUUGGAUUUCCGGGGUGUUUCAUGUUAUCAUUUAUAAAAAGGGCAUUUAUCAUGACAUCUUCUAAUUAUCAUAUUAACAUGUUUUUGACUUUUGUUUAUUAGAAAUGUUGUAGUUAAAUGUUAUUACUAAUUGAGUUGGUGAUUUACUCCCCACUUUUUUUUGUUGCACAGAUCACAGGUGACGUCGACAAGACUUUAGCUAUAGUGUACGAGUUGACAAAUCUAUAGUUCACGGGGAUUGCUUUGUGUGGACAAGAAGUUAUUUAUUUACUACCGCCCUUUUCUUUUGAACUCUUAGAGUCGCUUUGUUAAUCAUUUCACUAGUGUCAUGCGUAAUUUUUCAUUAUUGGAAACUUGAAAUAGUAUUAGACUUCUUUUCGUAUUUGGAGGUGGAUUUAGUAUUAUUAUAUUGUUGAUGCAUGUUAUGGCUUGCUUUUUUUAGCGAUAUUGGUUGGAUAUGUUAUUGAUUUUUGAGACAGGAAUUUUUUUUUCUAUAGGCCCAAAAACAGGGGAAAUUCUGUCCAAUUUUUUGUAAAUUUUCAUCAAGGC